rnacentral:rRNA from 1 species
AGUCGAACGAUGAUCUCCAGCUUGCUGGGGGGAUUAGUGGCGAACGGGUGAGUAACACGUGAGUAACCUGCCCUUGACUCUGGGAUAAGCCUGGGAAACUGGGUCUAAUACCGGAUAUGACCAUCUGGCGCAUGUCAUGGUGGUGGAAAGCUUUUGUGGUUUUGGAUGGACUCGCGGCCUAUCAGCUUGUUGGUGGGGUAAUGGCCUACCAAGGCGACGACGGGUAGCCGGCCUGAGAGGGUGACCGGCCACACUGGGACUGAGACACGGCCCAGACUCCUACGGGAGGCAGCAGUGGGGAAUAUUGCACAAUGGGCGAAAGCCUGAUGCAGCGACGCCGCGUGAGGGAUGACGGCCUUCGGGUUGUAAACCUCUUUCAGUAGGGAAGAAGCGAAAGUGACGGUACCUGCAGAAGAAGCGCCGGCUAACUACGUGCCAGCAGCCGCGGUAAUACGUAGGGCGCAAGCGUUAUCCGGAAUUAUUGGGCGUAAAGAGCUCGUAGGCGGUUUGUCGCGUCUGCUGUGAAAGACCGGGGCUCAACUCCGGUUCUGCAGUGGGUACGGGCAGACUAGAGUGCAGUAGGGGAGACUGGAAUUCCUGGUGUAGCGGUGAAAUGCGCAGAUAUCAGGAGGAACACCGAUGGCGAAGGCAGGUCUCUGGGCUGUAACUGACGCUGAGGAGCGAAAGCAUGGGGAGCGAACAGGAUUAGAUACCCUGGUAGUCCAUGCCGUAAACGUUGGGCACUAGGUGUG